rnacentral:lncRNA from 1 species
GAAGAAUUAGCCCUUCAAUCCAUGAUAAAUUCUCGAGGAAGGACCGAGACACUGUCUUCUCAGCCUGCACCUGAACAGUUAUGUGAUAUGUCCCUACAUGUAGACAACGAAGUGACAAUAAAUCAGACUACACUGAAGCUGAGCACAAGGAGCCCUAUGGAAGAAGAGGAGGAGGAAGAGGAGGAGGAAGAGGAGGAGGAAGAAUCUGAUUCGUAAAGGGGGAUCAAGGGCAGGGUAGUUAUACAAACUAAGUCUUGGGUGCUUCAUCUCUUCAAAGUCAUCUUGCAGGGCCUAUGUGAAAGAUAAACUUAUGAAUGGAAGAGGCUCAGCCCAUAAAGUAUCUAUAUUCAAAUAUGAAGAGCUGAGUUUGGAGCCCCAGAAUCUGUGUAAAAACAUAGAGUGUCACAUGCCUGUAACCCCAGCACUGGGGAUAGGAAGAACAACAGAUCCCAGAAGCACACUGGCCAGCCUGUCUAGCCAAACCAGUGAGUUCUGAUUCACUCAGAGACCUGUCUGAAGAGAACAGUUAUAAUGGCAUAGAGGCCCAGCACAUCUCAAUCCCAGCACACAAGAAAAGGGAUUAAAUAGCAAGCUGC